AGUGGAAUGGCUGAGAAUGAGGUGAAAGAUUGUAAAUCUUUUAAGGAGUAAGAUUACUCUUCUACUA
rnacentral:tRNA from 1 species